rnacentral:rRNA from 1 species
CCGAUGGAGGGGGGUAACUACUGGAAACGGUAGCUAAUACCGCAUAACGUCGCAAGACCAAAGAGGGGGACCUUGGGCCUCUUGCCAUCGGAUGUGCCCAGAUGGGAUUAGCUAGUAGGUGGGGUAACGGCUCACCUAGGCGACGAUCCCUAGCUGGUCUGAGAGGAUGACCAGCCACACUGGAACUGAGACACGGUCCAG